AGUGAACGCUGGCGGUAGGCCUAACACAUGCAAGUCGAACGGCAGCACAGUAAGAGCUUGCUCUUACGGGUGGCGAGUGGCGGACGGGUGCGGAAUAUAUCGGAAUCUACUUUUUCGUGGGGGAUAACGUAGGGAAACUUACGCUAAUACCGCAUACGACCUACGGGUGAAAGCAGGGGAUCUUCGGACCUUGCGCGAGUGAAUGAGCCGAUGUCGGAUUAGCUAGUUGGCGGGGUAAAGGCCCACCAAGGCGACGAUCCGUAGCUGGUCUGAGAGGAUGAUCAGCCACACUGGAACUGAGACACGGUCCAGACUCCUACGGGAGGCAGCAGUGGGGAAUAUUGGACAAUGGGCGCAAGCCUGAUCCAGCCAUACCGCGUGUGUGAAGAAGGCCUUCGGGUUGUAAAGCCCUUUUGUUGGGAAAGAAAAGCAGCAGGUUAAUACCCCGCUGUUCUGACGGUACCCAAAGAAUAAGCACCGGCUAACUUCGUG
rnacentral:rRNA from 1 species